rnacentral:rRNA from 1 species
CCUACGGUGAGCAGCAGUCGAGAAUCAUUCACAAUGGGGGAAACCCUGAUGGUGCGACGCCGCGUGGGGGAACGAAGGUCUUCGGAUUGUAAACCCCUGUCAUGUGGGAGCAAAUUAAAAAGAUAGUACCACAAGAGGAAGAGACGGCUAACUCUGUGCCCGCCGCCGCGGUAAUACAGAGGUCUCAAGCGUUGUUCGGAAUCACUGGGCGUAAAGCGUGCGUAGGCUGUUUCGUAAGUCGUGUGUGAAAGGCGCGGGCUCAACCCGCGGACGGCACAUGAUACUGCGAGACUAGAGUAAUGGAGGGGGAACCGGAAUUCUAGGUGUAGCAGUGAAAUGCGUAGAGAUCGAGAGGAACACUCGUGGCGAAGGCGGGUUCCUGGACAUUAACUGACGCUGAGGCACGAAGGCCAGGGGAGCGAAAGGGAUUAGAUACCCGUGUAGUC